CAGCAUGUUAGCGGCUUACGCUCUGCCAGUGAAGCUCUUCACACUGAACUUGUAGCCAUAACUGACAGCGUUGUGGUGAAUGACUUACGAUCGGCUGAUGUCCGUGCCGGCUACUGGCUAGUCGACGAUCCGCCAUUAAGCACCAUUUUAAAUUGGAUUCGCUCGCAACACUACUCCUCCUGAAGCUGCGCUUCGUUUCCCUACGACAGGGAUCCAAAAAUAAUUUAUCUGCUACGAUACUUACCAUCGACUUCAUCAGACUGCUUCUUGCUCUUUUGCCUUCUGUGAUUGGAAAAACAAAAGCUCCUCCGAUUUUUGAGUUGCUGCUAUAUACCCUUGCUCGACGUUUAUUAUUACAUUCAGGUGCAUGAUUUCCUUUUUCUAAAACGGGCUUGCCCUCUCAUGGAUUUGCUUACCACUGCGUUUUGUUUUGGGUGCUUUUGGUGCCUUGCAUACCCGCAUACCCGGAUGGAUUAUGUUGUGAUGGUUAUUUUCACGAAGCGGCUCAUGACGACAUGUGUGCUCUAAUCUGACCGUCACAACGAAUGAUAACUUUUGGGUGGUGAUGGAAGAGUGGUGAGAAGGAGGACUGGAAUCCUCGUUCGGAGAAAUGCUGGACUUUUCUCACCUUUUUAUCUAUUUUUUUUUUCGCUUUUUCUAGAUAGGCUUGGCCUAUCUUUUUGUGCUGGCUUUUAGCGAUUUCUUCUGGGUGUUUUUAAUAGAUCAUACUUGUUUUUUUCUUGCUCCGGGGCAUCAUUUUGCUGCUUUCACACUUUUCUAGGGUUAGGAUAGGAUCCAUGGGGUUUACUGAUGUUGUGUUUUCCUUUCGCCGAUUGUUCAUUGUUUACCAUUGAUUUUUCUAUCUUUUCUUCCAUUUUCCUCCUCGUUUCGGUCUUAACAUUUUUAAUGUAUUGCAAGGAACCUUUCUAUUUUCCUUGUUCCUGUCUUGACAAUGUGAUGUAACCAUGUUUUGUUUUAUAAUUACUCCAUUUCAGGCGG
rnacentral:sRNA from 1 species